rnacentral:lncRNA from 1 species
GCUCCCUACCCGGCAGUGACAACAUUCCUUGUUUUCACUCAGGCGGUGUGUAAGAACACUUCCCUUCCUAUCUUUCUUUUCGCAGAUGAGUUCUAAGGAGUUUGGAUUUUGUCCUGAGGACAAUGGAGAGACGGCAUCUACUCCCUACCUGGGCUUCCUGGAGCUGUCUGUCCCUGGACAUAAGAAGCACUGGACCAGAUAGUUUCCAGGGACCUCCCAGGUUUGAUGCACUAAAUGGACAAAACAAGAUGUCCACAGCAAGAAUCUUGGAGCUGGGCCACACUGGCAAGUCUGAUAAUGCCAAAAGACCACCCAUGAUGAAGAUCAUUCUCAAAGGGGAGGGGGAUCAAGAGAAGGAGGUGGGGAAGAAGGGACGAAAACAAAAGGAACUGAGAUAUGUUAUGUACAUGUACUGAGUGUACACAGGGAAUAUAUACAUUAAAUACUACAAAUGUACCCCCGAAAAAGAAAAAAGGAGGCGGGGUGGGAAAGGAGAGACAAAAGGAAUGAAGGUGUGUUAUGUACACACACCAGCUCCGGACAAGGAACAUAAGCACAUGUACUACACAAAUGUAGCAAUAAACUAAAAUAAAAAUAAGAUCAUCAGUGACAGUGGACUGGCCAAGAAGUAACAGUGUACCUGCCCAAUUUGUAUAAUAACCAGAAAGGAGAGGAGGUGGUGGACCUUGAGGAGCCACUUACAGCACCACCCCACUUUGGAAUGUUCCAUUUGCUAUGGAAGGGGUUCUUUUCUUCAGGUUAGAAAUAGUAAUCUGAAUGAAAGGACUUUUCUGAUUCAUGAGCAGACUUAAAAUCCUAGAUUUUGAAAAAAAUCUGACUUGUGAGAAAAUCUUUUAAAUUAGAAACCUAACAAAGUGGAAGAGUUAGGUUUAGCUUAGAGCACUUAGCAUAUGCCAAAUAGUAUGACUAAUAAAUGGAAACCACAGGGAUCAACACAGCCCCCAGUGCCACAGCUCAUGUCUGUGAAGGAGACAGGCACAUGGGCUCUAAGGACCAGAGAACUUUAAAGAACGAGAAAGAAGUUAUACCUCCUUCCUGGAGGUGGUAGAAGUGCCGCUGUCAUGACAGAGACAUCCACUAGGAUUUAAAACAGCUGUUUUAUGGCCUUGUGGCUACAAUGAUUGUUACAAGUGGAAUAAUGAAGGAUGAUGCUUUAUUUGCAAAGAAGAAAGACUGAAAAUGGAACUAAAUCUGUUUCCUCAUUCCUAAACUGGGAAUAAUUAUACUCCCCUGCCCCACUGAGAUAGAGCUUUUCAAUUCCAUGUGGAUUUAAGACACAUCCAUGUGAAAUAGAGUGAGCUACUUGGUAUGAUAUGUAUGCACACUCCAUAAGAUACAAAAAGCAAGGCAGAAAGUGAUACUGGAACCCCUUCUCCAUGAGAACAAUGAUCAACUCUGAAAUAACAGAUUUAAAUAAAGUUAUAUUAUUA